UGGGGAAUAUUGGACAAUGGGGGGAACCCUGAUCCAGCCAUGCCGCGUGUGUGAAGAAGGCCUUAUGGUUGUAAAGCACUUUAAGCGAGGAGGAGGGUACUGGUAUUAAUACUACCAGGUACUGGACGUUACUCGCAGAAUAAGCACCGGCUAACUCUGUGCCAGCAGCCGCGGUAAUACAGAGGGUGCAAGCGUUAAUCGGAAUUACUGGGCGUAAAGCGCGCGUAGGUGGUUCGUUAAGUUGAAUGUGAAAGCCCCGGUCUCAACCUGGGAAAUGCAUCCAAAACUGGCGAGCUAGAGUAGGGCAGAGGGUGGUGGAAUUUCCUGUGUAGCGGAGAAAUGCGUAGAUAUAGGAAGGAGCACCAGUGGCGAAGGCGACCACCUGGGCUCAUACUGACACUGAGGUGCGAAAGCGUGAGGAGCAAACAGG
rnacentral:rRNA from 1 species